rnacentral:rRNA from 1 species
GAUGAACGCUGGCGGCGUGCCUAAUACAUGCAAGUCGAGCGAACAGACGAGGAGCUUGCUCCUUCGACGUUAGCGGCGGACGGGUGAGUAACACGUAGGUAACCUACCUAUAAGACUGGGAUAACUUCGGGAAACCGGAGCUAAUACCGGAUAAUAUUUCGAACCGCAUGGUUCGAUAGUGAAAGAUGGCUUUGCUAUCACUUAUAGAUGGACCUGCGCCGUAUUAGCUAGUUGGUAAGGUAACGGCUUACCAAGGCAACGAUACGUAGCCGACCUGAGAGGGUGAUCGGCCACACUGGAACUGAGACACGGUCCAGACGCCUACGGGAGGCAGCAGUAGGGAAUCUUCCGCAAUGGGCGAAAGCCUGACGGAGCAACGCCGCGUGAGUGAUGAAGGUCUUCGGAUCGUAAAACUCUGUUAUUAGGGAAGAACAAACGUGUAAGUAACUGUGCACGGCUUGACGGUACCUAAUCAGAAAGCCACGGCUAACUACGUG